UGACACAGCCAUAUCAUCCUGCAGGUCAAGGGCUGAGACUGGUUAGUAUCUGGAUGGGAGACCACAUAGGAAAACUAGUUUGCUGUUGGAA
rnacentral:rRNA from 1 species